GUUGAAAAGUACUUUGAAGAGAGAGUUCAAGAGGACGUGAAACCGGUAGGAUGGAAACGGAUAGAGCCAACGAACAAGCCCGCUAUUCAGCUAGUCGGCUGCGUGCGGCAUGCCUGUGUGCUCGAUAGGGUGCAUAGGUGUGUGCGGUAUGCGGUCGGCUAGUGCAUUUGCGGGUGAUGUGCGCUGAGGCGUGUGGUGGAGUCCUGCAAACCGUCUGGAGAGGCCUUGCCUUCGGGCUUGAAACCUACAGGCGGGGAGUAGGGUCUUUGCUGCAUGUAGAUAGUACGGCUAGGUGAAUUCGCGCUGCCGUGCUGCCGGGCUAGCUNCUUGGUCGGUCGCAUGCGACUAGGCCUUGUAGUUGGUCUUGGUGGUGCGGUAGUGCCCUAGCCGGGCCUCGGUGUAAAAGUUGGUCAUCUCUCCGACCCGUCUUGAAACACGGACCAAGGAGUCUAGCGUAUGCGCGAGUCAUUGGGUGGAAAACCCAUAGGCGUAAUGAAAGUGAAGGUCUCUUUACGAGGCUGAUAUGCGAUCCGUUACACUUCGGUGUGGCGGAGCAGCAUAGCCCCGUCUCGACUGCUUGCAGUGGGGCGGAGGUAGAGCGUAUUCGCUGGUACCCGAAAGAUGGUGAACUAUGCCUGAGCAGGAUGAAGCCAGAGGAAACUCUGGUGGAGGUCCGAAGCGCUUCUGACGUGCAAAUCGAUCGUCUGACUUGGGUAUAGGGGCGAAAGACUAAUCGAACCAUCUAGU
rnacentral:rRNA from 1 species